AGCUUCGACUAAGGUUCGAUUCGAGCGCAGCGAGAAAGCGUUGCCGCAGGCAACGACCCGAAGGGUGAGGAGCGGAGCGACGAAUAAUCCUUCCCCCACCAUCA
rnacentral:sRNA from 1 species